CUUACUGCAAGUUACAGAAGCCUUGUUUUUUCUGCAAGAGCUAUUCCUCAGCCUACUGCGCUAUCCUGUGUUUUGGAAAGUUCAGUUAUCCCAGUUUUGUCUGCAACUGUUAUGCUUCUGUGAAGUGUGUUUAAAUGUAACAGGAGAAUGCUCAUCUUUGAUCUCCUUAAUAGAGGACAACUUUGAGCUCUUAAAAGAGAUAUUUCCAUCGGAACAGUGUAUAAUUGAGCUAGCACUUCUACUGCUACAAACUCCAGAAAGUCAGCAAAAAUCUAUCUUGAGUCUAGCCUACAAGCUCCUUUCCUGUUCAGAAACCCAAAACAUCUCAACCACAGCCCUUACUUUGGUGAUGCCUUUGCUACAGAUCUUAUCUUCUACAACAGUUGGGGACUGCCUAUCAGUGGAUGAUUCUGGAGCUACCAGGCAGCAACUGGCUGUAAAUCUUUUGGGAAUAUUACAGGAGGAAGGUGUGAAGGAUAACAAGGAAUUGGUGUCCUGCAAACUCCUUUUUCCCAUAACCAGCUCUUACACCUUAUUGUAUACAACCUGGAAGAUCAUAGAGCUCAUGAAAGAGAAGUCUGCAGUUGCUAACUGGUUAUCUUCAGUGAAAUCACUGCUACCUGUUACACCUCAAGUCCCUGCCCAUGUUUUUCUUCUACUGGCUUACCUACUGAUACAAGAAAAUGGAGACAGUCUUCGUGAUGUACUCCAGGCUACUACGGAAAUAGCCAAGGCUGAUUGUUCUCAGGUGAAAACUUACUCCAUUUCUGGU